rnacentral:rRNA from 1 species
GAUGAACGCUGGCGGCGUGCCUAAUACAUGCAAGUCGAGCGAACCUCUUCGGAGGUUAGCGGCGGACGGGUGAGUAACACGUGGGCAACCUACCUUGUAGAUGGGGAUAACAUCGAGAAAUCGGUGCUAAUACCGAAUGACACUUUUCUCCACAUGGAGAAAAGUUAAAAGUUGGCUUUUGCUAACACUACAAGAUGGGCCCGCGGCGCAUUAGCUAGUUGGUGAGGUAACGGCUCACCAAGGCGACGAUGCGUAGCCGACCUGAGAGGGUGAUCGGCCACACUGGGACUGAGACACGGCCCAGACUCCUACGGGAGGCAGCAGUAGGGAAUCUUCCGCAAUGGACGAAAGUCUGACGGAGCAACGCCGCGUAAGUGAUGAAGGCCUUCGGGUCGUAAAACUCUGUUGUUAGGGAAGAAUAAGUACCGUUCGAAUAGGGCGGUACCGUGACGGUACCUAACCAGAAAGCCACGGCUAACUACGUGCCAGCAGCCGCGGUAA